UAGGGAAUCUUCCGCAAUGGACGAAAGUCUGACGGAGCAACGCCGCGUGAGUGAAGAAGGAUUUCGGUUCGUAAAACUCUGUUGUUAGGGAAGAAAAAAUGUAUAGUAACUAUAUACAAAAGAGACGGUACCUAACCAGAAAGCCACGGCUAACUACGUGCCAGCAGCCGCGGUAAUACGUAGGUGGCAAGCGUUGUCCGGAAUUAUUGGGCGUAAAGCGCGCGCAGGUGGUUUAGAAAGUCUGAUGUGAAAGCCCACGGCUCAACCGUGGAGGGUCAUUGGAAACUAAUAAACUUGCGUGCAGGAGAGAAAAGUGGAAUUCCUAGUGUAGCGGUGAAAUGCGUAGAGAUUAGGAGGAACACCGGUGGCGAAAGCGGCUUUUUGGCCUGCAACUGACACUGAGGCGCGAAAGCGUGGGGAGCAAACAGG
rnacentral:rRNA from 1 species